rnacentral:rRNA from 1 species
GACGAACGCUGGCGGCGUGCUUAACACAUGCAAGUCGAACGAAGUGGCGAACGGGUGAGUAACGCGUAAUCAACCUGCUCUUCUGCGGGGGAGAACAGUCGGAAACGACUGCUAAUACCGCCUACCGCAGGCGGGGAUCGCGUCUGAUUAGCUAGUUGGGGGGGUAACGGCCAACCAAGGCGAUGAUCAGUAGGCGGGCUGGGAGGAUGAACGGCCACAUUGGGACUGAGACACGGCCCAGACUCCUACGGGAGGCAGCAGUGGGGAAUCUGCCGCAAUGGACGAAAGUCUGACGGAGCAACGCCGCGUGAGUGAUGACGGCCUUCGGGUUGUAAAGCUCUGUUAAUCGGGACGCGGUACCGGAAUAGAAAGCCACGGCUAACUACGUGCCAGCAGCCGCGGUAAUAC